GAUGAAGACCGUAGCGAAAUGCGAUACUUGGUGUGAAUUGCAGAAUCCCGUGAACCAUCGAGUCUUUGAACGCAAGUUGCGCCCGAAGCCAUCAGGUUGAGGGCACGUCUGCCUGGGCGUCACAUAUCGUUGCCCAAUGCCUAUUGCAGUGCAAUAGGAAUUUCUAGGGCGAAUGAUGGCUUCCCGUGAGCGUUGUUGCCUCGCGGUUGGUUGAAAAUCGAGUCCUUGGUAGGGUGUGCCAUGGUAGAUGGUGGUCGAGUUAGAACGAUACCGAUCAUGUGCAUGCUCCCCAAAAUAUGGCCUCUAUGACCCACACGCGUCUUUUGACGCUCAUGACGAGACCUCAGGUCAGGCGGGGCUACCCGCUGAAUUUAAGCAUAUCAAUAAGCGGAGGA
rnacentral:misc_RNA from 1 species